rnacentral:rRNA from 1 species
UACGGAGGGAGCGAGCGUUAUUCGGAAUACUGGGCGUAAAGCGUAUGUAGGCGGUUUUGUAAGACAGAUGUGAAAUCCCAGAGCUUAACUUUGGAACUGCAUUUGUGACUGCAUGACUCGAGUAUUGGAGAGGUUAGCGGAAUUCCUAGUGUAGCAGUGAAAUGCGCAGAUAUUAGGAGGAACACCGAUGGCGUAAGCAGCUAACUGGACAAUUACUGACGCUGAGAUACGAAAGUGAUGGGGAGCAAACAGGGAUUAAGU